rnacentral:rRNA from 1 species
GGAUGAACGCUGGCGGCGUGCCUAAUACAUGCAAGUCGAGCGAACAGACGAGGAGCUUGCUCCUCUGACGUUAGCGGCGGACGGGUGAGUAACACGUGGAUAACCUACCUAUAAGACUGGGAUAAUUUCGGGAAACCGGAGCUAAUACCGGAUAAUAUAUUGAACCGCAUGGUUCAAUAGUGAAAGACGGUUUUGCUGUCACUUAUAGAUGGAUCCGCGCCGCAUUAGCUAGUUGGUAAGGUAACGGCUUACCAAGGCAACGAUGCGUAGCCGACCUGAGAGGGUGAUCGGCCACACUGGAACUGAGACACGGUCCAGACUCCUACGGGAGGCAGCAGUAGGGAAUCUUCCGCAAUGGGCGAAAGCCUGACGGAGCAACGCCGCGUGAGUGAUGAAGGUCUUCGGAUCGUAAAACUCUGUUAUUAGGGAAGAACAAAUGUGUAAGUAACUAUGCACGUCUUGACGGUACCUAAUCAGAAAGCCACGGCUAACUACGUG